rnacentral:misc_RNA from 1 species
UGUGGGAGCUGGCUUGCCUGCGAUGGCGGUGGGUCAGCCACAGCAUUCUCAACAGGUAGGCCGCUAUCGCAGGCAAGCCAGCUCCCACA